rnacentral:rRNA from 1 species
UGGCGGACGGGUGAGUAAUGUCUGGGAAACUGCCUGAUGGAGGGGGAUAACUACUGGAAACGGUAGCUAAUACCGCAUAACGUCGCAAGACCAAAGAGGGGGACCUUCGGGCCUCUUGCCAUCGGAUGCGCCCAGAUGGGAUUAGCUAGUAGGUGGGGUAACGGCUCACCUAGGCGACGAUCCCUAGCUGGUCUGAGAGGAUGACCAGCCACACUGGAACUGAGACACGGUCCAGACUCCUACGGGAGGCAGCAUG